AUUGAACGCUGGCGGAAUGCUUUACACAUGCAAGUCGAACGGCAGCACGGGGGCAACCCUGGUGGCGAGUGGCGAACGGGUGAGUAAUACAUCGGAACGUGCCCGGUCGUGGGGGAUAACGUAGCGAAAGUUACGCUAAUACCGCAUACGAUCUGAGGAUGAAAGCGGGGGACCUUCGGGCCUCGCGCGAUCGGAGCGGCCGAUGUCAGAUUAGGUAGUUGGUGGGGUAAAGGCCUACCAAGCCGACGAUCUGUAGCUGGUCUGAGAGGACGACCAGCCUCACUGGGACUGAGACACGGCCCAGACUCCUACGGGAGGCAGCAGUGGGGAAUUUUGGACAAUGGGCGCAAGCCUGAUCCAGCCAUUCCGCGUGCAGGACGAAGGCCUUCGGGUUGUAAACUGCUUUUGUAUGGAACGAAAAGGCUCUGGCUAAUACCUGGGGCUCAUGACGGUACCGGAAGAAUAAGCACCGGCUAACUACGUG
rnacentral:rRNA from 1 species